rnacentral:rRNA from 1 species
CCUACGGGAGGCAGCAGUGGGGAAUAUUGCGCAAUGGGCGAAAGCCUGACGCAGCGACGCCGCGUGAGGGAUGAAGGUCUUCGGAUCGUAAACCUCUGUCAGCAGGGAAGAACGGUCACUGUGCUAAUCAGCAGUGAAUUGACGGUACCUGCAAAGGAAGCACCGGCUAACUCCGUGCCAGCAGCCGCGGUAAUACGGAGGGUGCGAGCGUUAAUCGGAAUUACUGGGCGUAAAGCGCACGUAGGCGGUAUGUCAAGUCAAGGGUGAAAUCCCCGCGCUCAACGUGGGAACUGCAUUUGAAACUGGCAGACUGGAGUGUGUGAGAGGGUAGUAGAAUUCCAGGUGUAGGGGUGAAAUCCGUAGAUAUCUGGAGGAACAUCAGUGGCGAAGGCGACUAUCUGGCACAUGACUGACGCUGAGGAGCGAAAGCGUGGGUAGCAAACAGGAUUAGAUACCCGAGUAGUC